GUGGGGAAUUUUGGACAAUGGGCGCAAGCCUGAUCCAGCAAUGCCGCGUGCAGGAAGAAGGCCUUCGGGUUGUAAACUGCUUUUGUACGGAACGAAACGGUCCUGGUUAAUACCUGGGGCUAAUGACGGUACCGUAAGAAUAAGCACCGGCUAACUACGUGCCAGCAGCCGCGGUAAUACGUAGGGUGCGAGCGUUAAUCGGAAUUACUGGGCGUAAAGCGGGCGCAGGCGGUGCUGUAAGACAGGUGUGAAAUCCCCGGGCUCAACCUGGGAAUUGCGCUUGUGACUGCAGUGCUGGAGUACGGCAGAGGGGGAUGGAAUUCCGCGUGUAGCAGUGAAAUGCGUAGAUAUGCGGAGGAACACCGAUGGCGAAGGCAGUCCCCUGGGCCUGUACUGACGCUCAUGCACGAAAGCGUGGGGAGCAAACAGGAUUAGAUACCCGAGUAGUCC
rnacentral:rRNA from 1 species